GAUCAGUUUUUUCUCACGUGUGCGCAGACCCUGUGGUGUAUGAACCUAAAAACCCUAUUUCCUGUUUGGGGGAGUCGCCUAGGAGCUCAGGAAUUACUUAUAUGUGCACUGCCAGGCACUGAGGGGCCUGAAACUGAAGUGGGAGGCAGAACAAAACACUCUAUGCAGAGGGACAAAGACACAUGUCACUCUCCAGCCUGCUGUGGGUGUCCGUGGUCUUCAUCUGCUCUGGAUCCAGUGUGGCCCAGAAAGUGACUCAAGUCCAGCCACUCACAUCCAGAGCAGUAGGGGAAACAGUCACCCUGGACUGCUCCUAUGAGACAACCUGGAGCUCAUACUAUCUUUAUUGGUACAAGCAACUUCCCAGUGGAGAGAUGCUUUUUCUUAUUAGACAGUAUUCUUCAGAUUCCAAUGCAAAGAGUGGUCGCUAUUCUGUCAACUUCCAGAAAGCAGCUAAGUCCAUCAGCCUCACCAUUUCAACCAUACAGAUGGAAGAUUCGGCUAAGUAUUUCUGUGCUAUCAGAGAACCCACAGUAUUUGAACCGAAGGUAAAUGCUGAACAAAAACUCAGGAGUUCUCUGAGAGCCACGCCCUGCUGCAGGAGCUCAGCUGAGACUCACACCUGCAGAUCCCAGCAGGAAGGAAACACAGCAGUUGCUUCACUGUGGUCUUUAUCAAAAGAUUAA